GACAGACGUGACAGGUGGUGCAGGGUCGUCGUCAGCUCGUGUCGUGAGAUGUUGGAUUAAUUCCUGCAUAGAGCGCAACCCUUGAUUUUAGUAGCCAUUCAUUCAUUUGGGCACUUUAAGAAGUCAGCCGGUGAUAAACCGGAGAAAGGUGGGGAAGACGGCAAAUCAUCAUGCUCUUUAUGGCCUGGGAUACACACGUGGUACAAUGGGAGGUACAAAUGGGUGCAAGAUCGCGAGGUUUAGCCAAUCUCAUAAAACCGUUUUCAGUUCGGAUUGUAGGGUGCAACUUGCCUACAUGAAGCGGGAAUCGCUAGUAAUCGCGGAUCAGCAUGCCGCGGUGAAUACGUUUCCGGGCCUUGUACACACCGCCCGUCACACCCCGA
rnacentral:rRNA from 1 species